UAAUGUAUGGGGAUCUGCCCGAUAGAGGGGGAUAACUACUGGAAACGGUGGCUAAUACCGCAUAAUGUCUACGGACCAAAGCAGGGGCUCUUCGGACCUUGCACUAUCGGAUGAACCCAUAUGGGAUUAGCUAGUAGGUGGGGUAAAGGCUCACCUAGGCGACGAUCUCUAGCUGGUCUGAGAGGAUGAUCAGCCACACUGGGACUGAGACAGGGCCCAG
rnacentral:rRNA from 1 species